GAUUGUUCAGUAAAACGUUGUUCCUCUUCCUACUCCGCUCCCCCAACUCCGAAUUCAUGAAUUCAUGGAUUCAUUAUCAUUUUCAUUUUCAGAAGAAUGUAACUCUUAGUUUCUCUUUUCCAAUCGGAGUCUCUCAUUGGUGGAUUCAAUCGUGAACUCCAUACAAUCUGUUGCUUCCAAGUGUUCAAGAACUAGUUGUCGACAUCCUCACCACCAUGCUCAACAAUCUGUUCCAAUUAAGAGCUACCUCUCCAUCUUUCUUCAAGCCUUCUAUUACAUCUCUUAUCGCAGCUCUGCCUCUGUCGAAAUGUCGUUCCAUAUCGGCUUUUGGCUUCACUCAUUAGUCUUCACGAGGUUUAGUGUCUCUGGACUAAGGUAGAGGAGAAGCUGAAAGACUAGAAAAGGAUAAAGCAUUUGCAUUCUACAUUGAAGCUCAAGGUUCUUUUCCUGAGUCAUGGAAGAUCGUCAAAGCAAGAGAAGCUCCAGAACGUCCAUUAUCAAAGGCCUAAAUGCUUCAAUUCGGCCUAUGAACAUUCAAAUGGACAAUCACUUGGUAAUUGGGGGAACCAGACACUAUCACCAGGAAACUAACUGUAAAAGUCCGACAAUCGUCGAUUGUUACAAUAUUAUGAAUCACUAUGCUAGCAGCACUUCUGGAAGCAAUAGCUUUGGUUCUCGGGGAGCAGGGUUGUCAUUAUCACCACUUUCGGCGAUUGAGAAUUUGGAAACACCACCUGUAAAGUCUCCACAAAUUUAUGGAACUCCCAUGAAGGUCGAUGAAGAAGUGAUAGUAAUGGAUGGGAUUUUGAUCAGUUCAAUUCAUGGGGAAGCAAAGAUAGUGAGGUCUCCAUUAGAUUCUGGAAGUGGUGGAGGGGGGAAAAAUCAAUACAGAUCGGACAUUUGCCGCUACUGGGAGGAUUCUGGUAGCUGCCGCUUUGGCAACAAAUGCCAGUUUGCGCAUGGAAAGGAGGACCUUCGGCCAGGUCGUUUACCAGUUAGAACCAAGACUAAGGUACCAUUGACAUCUAAUAAAUUAAAUACACUACAGGUUUUGUUCGGAUAAAAGACACUUUUAGAUUUGCAUAUUCUUCGCCACUACAGUUCAGCGAAACGUAUGGUUCCAAGUUCCGCAACAAUCAUUCACUAUCAGGAAUAUCUGCGACAACCACAACGCAAUCAAACUCAAACUUGGUAGAUACAAUCACCAAAACUGAACUAAGCAAAAGAGAAGGUCUUACUCCAACAUCCUCGACAUUAAAACGGCAAACGAACACUAACCCUACCCUUAUUUCGACCAUUUCUAUCAUCGAUUGGUCGCCUGAAGAUGAUGGGAUCAAAGAUUGGUCGCCUGAAGAUGAUGGCAUAAAAAUUGUUGUCCCCGGAACAGAGUCGACAAAAAGAGAAGAUGUAAACCAACACAUCCAUGAGGUUCUUUAUGGUUCCACCACUGAGAGGACUAAAAAGAGACUCCCAGUUUUCAGUCAACUUUGCUCUGAAGAACUACAAGAAGAAUAAGCAACACCAAGCUCUUUUUCAUUAUCAAAUUGCACAUUAUUCUCAUAAAAACUUUCUCUCAUAUUGGUUUACACCAUUUUGUUUUUAAAACAGGUUCAUAUAGUAUUCAUCGGUCAUAAAAGAAGAAAUUAGGUAGCCAUUACUUAGUUGUAGCUGUAUGUAAAAUGAGUGAAAACAAUGAUCUGAGUGGUAACUCACUAUUUCGUUUGCAUAAGGCUCUGGUGAAGUCGAUGAUAAAUACUAAAUUUGGGAAGAAAAAUGAAUGAACGGGAAGUAAUGGAACUUCACGAUUUACUAGAUAAAAUACAUGUUUAUCGGUAUUCUUUUCA